GGGAGGCGCGGCUGGGCUGAGCCUUUCAAUCAGGAAACGCUGGAUCCCAGCUGGGACUUCGGGAAAUGCGGCUGCUCCUCCCCAAUUAGCAGAGAAGCCACCAAACACCUUCUCGUGUCUAACCUUGUACCACCUGCAGCUGCUGGCAGCAACAAAAGCCUUUCAAACACCGUGAGGAAGACAAAAGAAACGCGUGUCUGAUGCAGAAAACAUUCAGGGCUUCCCCAGACAGAGGAGUUUAUUCAGUGUUUGUUCAGGCUCUGCUCACCCCAGGACAACAAAAUCAUUCUGAGCAGGCUUUGCACAAUGGGUGGCUUCAAAGUCUCGCUUUUGUGGCCUCUGAAGGAUCCAGUUUAAUUUAUUUUCUCAGCAGAAGGACUCUGUUACCAAUCCCACACCUCACCAACAGCCUAAGGCAUGGUUCUUGUCAGUAAACAACAUGAAAAUGCAUUUAUUCUGCUGUAUGUCUUCACACCAAGCAAAAAAAAAAAGGCAUCUUAUCUCAAUGUGUCACAUUUAAAUCAGAGGCAAUAGUUAAUGAGGUAUUCCACAGAAUCAUU